rnacentral:rRNA from 1 species
AACGAACGCUGGCGGCAUGCUUAACACAUGCAAGUCGAACGGAUUAUAUGCUUCGGUAUAUAGUUAGUGGCAGACGGGUGAGUAACGCGUGGGAACGUACCGUAUGGUUCGGAAUAACUAAGGGAAACUUUAGCUAAUACCGGAUAAGCCCUUCGGGGGAAAGAUUUAUCGCCAAACGAGCGGCCCGCGUUAGAUUAGGUAGUUGGUGGGGUAAGGCUCACCAAGCCGACGAUCUAUAGCUGGUCUGAGAGGAUGUUCAGCCACACUGGGACUGAGACACGGCCCAAACUCCUACGGGAGGCAACAGUGGGGAAUAUUGGACAAUGGGGGCAACCCUGAUCCAGCAAUGCCGCGUGAGUGAAGAAGGCCUUCGGGUUGUAAAGCUCUUUUAUCAGGGAA